rnacentral:rRNA from 1 species
GGGAGUGAAAUAGAACCUGAAACCCUGCACUUACAAGCUGUGGAAGCACAUUUCUUGUGUGACCGCGUACUUUUUGUAGAACGGGCCAACGAGUUACGUUAAGUAGCAAGGUUAAGCACUUAAGGUGCGGAGCCGUAGCGAAAGCGAGUUUUAACUGAGCGUUCAGUUACUUGACGUAGACCCGAAACCGGGCGACCUACCCAUGAGCAGGAUGAAGCGAAAGUAAAAUUUCGUGGAGGUCCGAACCCACGAGCGUUGAAAAGCUCGGGGAUGACGUGUGGGUAGCGGUGAAAUUCCAAUCGAGCCCGGAGAUAGCUGGUUCUCCCCGAAAUAGCUUUAGGGCUAGCCUCAAGGUGAGAGAUACGGAGGUAGAGCACUGAAUGUCCUCGUGGGUAUUGCACCUACCCAAGACUAUCAAACUCCGAAUGCCGUCAUCUUAUACUUGGGAGUCAGACUGUGGGUGAUAAGAUUCAUAGUCGAAAGGGCAACAGCCCAGAUCGUCAGCUAAGGUCCCUAAAUGUAAGUUAAGUGGUAAAGGAUGUGGGAUUGCACAGACAACCAGGAUGUUGGCUUAGAAGCAGCCACUCAUUCAAAGAGUGCGUAAUAGCUCACUGGUCGAGUGAUCCUGCGCCGAAGAUUUCCGGGGCUAAAACUUACUACCGAAGCUACGGCAUCAGUAAUGAUGGGUAGGGGAGCUUCCCAUACGGGUUGAAGCAUGACCGUAAGGACAUG